rnacentral:rRNA from 1 species
UACGUAGGGCGCAAGCGUUGUCCGGAAUUAUUGGGCGUAAAGCGCACGUAGGCGGCUUAGCAAGUCGGAAGUGAAAUCCCUCGGCUCAACCAAGGAAGUGCUUUCGAAACUGCUGAGCUUGAGUACUUAAGAGGAUCGCGGAAUUCCCGGUGUAGAGGUGAAAUUCGUAGAUAUCGGGAGGAACACCAGUGGCGAAGGCGGCGAUCUGGGACGUUACUGACACUGAGGCGCGAAAGCGUGGGGAGCGAACAGG